UUCCUGCUCCUCUCCAUCUAUGAGCAGAGUUCCCCGUUUGUACCCGGCUUCCUUGUUUCAGGUAAGUUGGCCUUUGCGUCUUGCGAGACGACUGAUGUCCCAGGCAACGACUGGUACCGGGACUUUUUUAAUGGUAAGGAUUUUAUUUUUUGUUUCUUUAUGACAGGCCACAGUUGGAGUGGUUGUCCUGUCACUGUUAUGAAAACAUGCAUAAUAUAUUAGGUUGAGUUAGGUUAGAGUUAAAAAUUAGAGAUAACCUUUUUAAUCCCAGCAAGUGAGGACAGGAGGAGACAUCAACAGAGGACAGAGGCUAAAGAAGACUUCUUUAUCAACCACAACAAUGUAAGUAAAAAUACUGAACACACCUUUACUGUAAAAAUAAACUUGACUUUAUAAUAAUGCUUGUAAAAUGUUAAACAGGAGCACCAGCAUCCACAGCUGCUUGAGGAGGAAACAUCAACAGAAAGCAAAACAAUUAAUCAUCCACUGAUGGAGGAGGAGGAUGAUGAAGAUGGAGGACAGGAGCACCAGUAUCCACAGCAUCCUGAGGAAACAUCAACAGGGGACAGAAAGACUUCUAUUCACCAAAACAAUGUAAGCAAAAAUACUACACGUUUAAUGAAAAAUAAUAUGUAGACAUUACGCUAUACUAAUGCCUGUAAAAUGUCAGACAGGAGUGCCAGCAUCCACUGAUGGAGGAGGAGGAUGAAGAAGAUGGAGGACAUUAGCACCAGCAUCCACAGCUGCCUGAGGAGGAAACAUCAACAGAAAGCAAAACAAUCAAAACAAUUAAUGUAAGUAAAGCCUCUCAUUGGCACAGAAAGACACUGAACUAAUGUUUAAUGUAAAAAUAGAGGUGACUUUAUACUAAUGCCUGUAAAAUGUUGGACUGGAACAAUGGCAUCUACUGAUGGAGGAGGAGGAUGAAGAUGGAGGACAGGAGCACCAGUAUCCACAGCAUCCUGAGGAAACAUCAACAGAGGACAGAGACUUCUAUUCACCAAAACAAUACAGGAGCACCAGCAUCCACAGCAUCCUGAGGAGGAAACAUUACCAGAGGACAGAAAGACUUCUAUUCACCAAAACAAUCAAUGUACGUAAAGCCUCUCAUUUACACAGAAAGAAUCUGAAUACGUGUUUAAUGUAAAAAUAAAGAUGAUUUUGAUACUAAUGACUGUCA
rnacentral:lncRNA from 1 species